rnacentral:lncRNA from 7 species
UAUAUUAUGUGUAGGUUAUCCUUACUAGUUGGAUAUUUUUCUUAGUUGAGAUGUUGAAUGAAGUAUAGUGACAUGGGUUAAGCAAGUAUUGUGUUGUUGUUGGGCUAUCAGUGCUCUAUGUAGAGUUUUUGGCAUUUCUUCGAUGAACUAUGCCGCACAAGAUGUUAUUGGCUUCUUUUGGCUUUAUUGCUCCAUUAGUUCUAUAGAUUUUCUCCCUUUUGGUGGGGUGCAAGGAAUGUUAGAUUACAUGAUUAUCUUUUCAUGAUGGCAAGAAUAAGGUUUAGGAAGAUUAGGAGUUUUGUUCCAAUAGAACUACUUGUUUCAUAGUGCUUUAAGGUGAGGUGUUUGAUCUUCUUAUACAUUCGUCGGGUGUAGAUGUUUCACCAUUUAAUUAAAAUUAAUGGUUGAAGUUGGUAAGGGUUGUGCUUGGUGCAUAUUACCCCUUCAUAAAAGAGUGUUGUCUUAAGACAUUGAUGUUGAUGUAUAGCUGCAUCCAAAUUUGAUGGUGUGAAAUUGGAGUGUUGAUUGCAACUAUGACAUGCUUUGAGCUUCAUUACAUGUUGUUUCAUGCUUGAUGUCAGGUCGUGUAGUUUCCUUAGACAAUUAGUCCAAGGUAGAAGUUCUUGUGUUAAUUAAGACCAAUAAUGGACCCAUGUUUUGAAUUGUGGUGCUAUAUGGGGUACCUUGGGUGUUUUGCUUGGAGUGGCCGAAUUCGAGGUCGAAUUCUUUUUAAGGGGGGUAGAGUGUAAUAUC